GACCCUCUGCCGCCGGUGGCUGCGGCCCGAGUGGCACACGAAGGCCCAGAUGCUGGACCUGGUCGUCCUGGAGCAGUUCCUGGCCGUCCUGCCCCCGGAGAUGGAGAGCUGGGUCAGAGGGUGUGGACCGGAGACCACUCCCUAGGCGGUGGCCCUGGCCGAAGGCUUCCUCCUGAGCCAGCAGCAGGAGCGGGAGGAGGAGGAGAAGAAGAAGCCGGACGAGGAGGAGGAGGAGGAGGAGCAGCAGCAGGUGCAGGGGACGCUGGCCCACGUGACGCCUGAAGCACGGAAGGCUCCGUCCGGCUCCACUCCGCGUCCGCUGCUCAGAGGGAUCGUGCAGGAGGGCGGCGGAAGCACCGCGUCGCUGGGAAAUGGAAUUAUGCUCAGAGGUCCCUGCCGGCCCCCUUCUCUUUGUGGAGGGAUGGAAACCGCUUCUGAGCAGCCUGAACAGGAUCUGGUGACCUUUGAGGAGAUGGCGGUGCAU